rnacentral:lncRNA from 1 species
GGGUACUUCCUUAUUUACAUUAUAAACUUCAGUAAAUUGAGUAAUAUAAAAAUAAAGGAAAGUUAAUAGACAAAAACAUUUACUUAAAUGCUGAAAAUGGAAAUAAGGUAAUCUAUACAAUGUCGUUGUUUUGACGUCAAGAAAACAAAAACAAAGGAAGCACUGAGUGAAAGCAACCUGCACCUUCCUGCUGUGUUGCGCCCUCUGGAGCAUUUCAUCAAGCAGUUUGUGGGCAAUUUGCAGGAGUCAACAUCUUCGCCUCCAAUGAUGGAUUCCGAGCUUGAAAAAGGUCAAUUGACCCCUCUUGCCCCUAUGUGGAUUCGCCCCUGCACACACACAAUAUGUACAUGUGAAAAAAGUUUGGGGGCCAUGUGUCACUCACACCCCAGGAUCGGGAAAAACACUUGUGUGGAACAAGGAUAACACUAUUUUGCUAUCCCUAACCAAUUACGGUGUCAAGUGAAAAAAUUAUCACUCAUUACGUAUCUUGAUUGAUUGUAUUUGGCUAGAAAAAAGAAAAUCCGAGUUUGUAGAAAUUGAUAAUUAAAUAAAUUUGUUUUCAACGUGAACUUUGUUGUAUCUCAUAAUUAGAAAUGAUAUAAAUUAUGGGAUUGGUUAAAUUAAUGAAGUGUCAAUAUAUUUAAUUUUUUACCAUUGGAGCUUGGCUAAAGUUGAGCAUUGUGGAUGAGAAACCAU